UACAGAGGUGGCAAGCGUUGUUCGGAAUUACUGGGCGUAAAGGGCGCGUAGGCGGCCUUCUAAGUCAGACGUGAAAUCCCCCGGCUUAACCUGGGAACUGCGUCUGAUACUGGGAGGCUUGAGUAUGGGAGAGGGAUGUAGAAUUCCAGGUGUAGCGGUGAAAUGCGCAGAUAUCAGGAGGAACACCGGUGGCGAAGGCGGAUCUCUGGGCCUUACCUGACGCUCAGGCGCGAAAGCUAGGGGAGCGAACAGG
rnacentral:rRNA from 1 species